rnacentral:rRNA from 1 species
GACGAACGCUGGCGGCGUGCUUAACACAUGCAAGUCGAACGGAAAGGCCCCUUUUUUGUUCCGUGCUCGGCUAACGGGCGGGUAACACAUGAGUAACCUGCCCUUCACUGCCGUAGAACUUCAGUAAACUAGGUGUAAUUCCUGAUAGGAUGGCUUUCUGCAUGGAUGGUGUUGGAAGGCUUGUUUCGGUUUGGGUGGACGGACGGGUGGUCUGUUUGGUGGUGGGGGAGUGGCUUGCCUAGGCUUUGCCGGGUAGCCGGCCUGGGAGGGCGGACGGGCCAAUUGGGACUGAGAAAAGGCCCAGACUCCUACGGGAGGCAGCAGUGGGGAAUAUUGCCAAAUGGGCGGGAGCCUGAUGCAGCAACGCCGCGGGCGGGAAGGAGGCCUUCGGGUUGUAAACCGGUUUCAGCAGGGGCGAAGCUUGUGGUGACGGUACCUGGAGAAGAAGCACCGGCUAACUACGUG